GUUUAGCUCAAAAUCUUGAAUUCUGAAUCAAGCCCGAGCUUAUAACAGCUUAAGCUUGAUUUGGCUGGGUUUUUAAGCUACUGUUUGGUAUUUUAACAAGUUAUCUGGGCAGAACAAAAAGUGCUUCUUUACGGCAAAUGCUAUUGCUGCUGCUUCUUCUUUUUCAAUUUUGAUUUCUCAUUUCUCUCCAUUUUUAUUUCCUUUUGCUUAAUUAUGAAAAUGUCAAGUUAAACCUAUGGCUGAUGUUUUCUUUUUUAAAAAUUUCUUUAGGCAAAGAUCCCAUGACCAAAUUCACUUACUGCUGCAUUCUGACAUGUUGAAUGUUCCCUCACCAUUACUGUCAAAUGCCGGUUUCUAAGGUUACUUCGUUAGAGUGUCAGCUAUGGUAUGUAUUCGAUUUGCGUAGAAUAAAUUAAUUUGCAGUUUUUCAUAUAUUUAAAGCAUUAUAGCUCAUAUCUAUGUUAUCCUGGCUUGGGUGGUAUGUUCAAAAUGAAUUUUAAUGUCUCUAUUUAGAGGAUCAUAUUCUUGUCUUUAAAUAUGAAUGUAUCUAACAUAAGUGCUUUAAGAAAAAUAAAGAAUUCGAAUAAUAUAGUCCUUCAUGUGAUGAAAUCUGAAUUCAGGUCAGUCGUUUUGUUUAUAUUAGAUUUUUUAGAUCAAACUCUCUAUGUUGCUUUGAUUUUUUAUUUUUUUUUUGAAGUACCCGUUUUGGCACUCGUGUUCGACAUGGGUAUAGGAUAUGAUCAUCCUUGGACAUAGCUAACUGACCAUCCUUUGUUGAAAACAUUGGCAUUUGGUUCUUAAAGCAUCAAUGGAGACUGUAGACUUCUACAUAAGAUUGUUGCAGCCCUUAAGCUGUUCUAGUUAUUCUGUAGGAUGUUAAUAUUACAAGCUUGACAAGUAGUGGAAUUCUUGAAGACCCUCUUAGUUAGAUACAUAUAUGGAACUUUCCUUUUACAAGUACAAAUUAUAUACAUAUAGACAUACAUAUAUAUAUAUACAUAUACAUAUAGGCCUUAUCAUUCAUAUAACAACUGCUGGCGAAGUGUUAAAACAGGCCAUCCGAGUAAAGUAGAAUUUUCGUGUUCCGAAGUUGCUUAGCUAGUUGUGGAAUGCUUGUGCCAUAUAUGAACUCUUGUUGUAAAAGAGUUCAAGAAAAAGCAAGGAUCAAAAGUAUAUUAAAUGUAGAAUCAGUAUCGGGUCAGAUCAGAUCGGACUCUCUUGGCCUUGUUUGCUACGUGCAUACAUCAUUAGCCUGAUUCUAAACAGUUCAACUUGCUCAUUCUUUUGCAGCCUUAUCUUAUUCAACAUCCUGUUCUGGCCAGUCGGGCCUAAGGUUUCUGGUGGUUGAUAGGUCGCUUAACAAUGGUGUAUAUGAUUCUCAAUCUCUUGAGGUAACUGAAGAAGGGUGUGUUGGAAACAGGUAUAAGCUUCACAAACCAAGCAAUUGGCCAUGAAAAUGCUGCAAGUAAUAUACAAACUCCCCAUUGCCAUAGUUUCAACUGCUCUGUAUCUGCAAACUUCUUCAAGAAUUCCACCAUAACCACCUG
rnacentral:lncRNA from 1 species